rnacentral:tRNA from 1 species
GCGGGCGUAGUUCAAUGGUAGAACUUCAGCUUCCCAAGCUGACUACGUGGGUUCGAUUCCCAUCGUCCGCUCCA